rnacentral:tRNA from 1 species
GCCGGUGUAGCCCAAUUGGCAGAGGCAGCAGGUUUAGGUCCUGCGUGUUGGGGGUUCGAGUCCCUUCGCCGGCACCA